GCCAAGCGAGGAGGAAACCGACGGUCCGAGAGGGCGUGUGGACGAGGUCUCACGGCCACCGAGUCGCAGAGCUCUGUUCGAACCAGGAAUUAACACUGCUGGACUUGGACUAGAGUGAUUCAAGAUCACAUAUGAUACAGCUCCUCUUGGGUUGACCAGCUUCUCCACAAGAAUCCUUCAGUCUCCUCCGAAGAAUGAACAUAAACUUAGUUGCCAGAUUUCAGGAAGCCAAGAGGUUCUGGGUUAUAAGAGAGAAAAUCACAACUACCUUAAAAGAAUCAAGAGGAUUAUCAUAAUGAGAAAACAAGAUUUAUAAAAAACAGUACAAUAUAAAUAAUACCUAUAUUUAUCAUAAAGGAUAUGACUCUAUAUACAUACUUUUGCUUUUUUCUUCUGUUUUUUCUUUGGUCCACCUUUGUCCAAAGGCCAGAUUAUCCUGUCAGCCUUCACCCACUCAUCAUACCUUAAAACAAAGAAAAAAAUUAGAACUUCACAAUACCUUAUUUGAAUGUAUGCACCAAAUAAUACAACAGUGAGAAAACUAAAGAGUCUGGUUCUAGUGUUGGCAGAAACGCGGAGAGCACAGGGGCUGGCUUGUUUGUAACGUGUGCCCGCUUGUGCUGGGUGCUUUGUUGACUCACCACCAACCGUUGAAGGCAAGGGUAAACAAGGUCAGAGGAAGAGCUAGGUGGGCAAACUACACAGACUCACAACUGAACCGCUCUUCUUUUCCACAACUGUAUUUUUGUUUCCCACAGAUCUGAGCUUAAUGCAAUACGUGUGUGCUACACUGCCAUUCACCCUAUUGACUGAAUAAUGCAAAGGGAAAUCAGGUGAAUUCCCAUUUGUAAUAUGAUCAGUUCCAGGUUUAUUUAUAAAGUCCUUGUCAACUCUCUUUUCCUCUCAGAACUCUAUAGCCUCCAGUAUGUCUAGGGAAAUUUUAU